GGUAAAAUGGCUGAUUUAGGCAAUAAACUGUAAAUUUAUUUAUGAGAAAAAAUUAUUCUCUUUUAUCA
rnacentral:tRNA from 1 species